UAAAAUUGCAUAAAAUGAAAUCAUUAUCACUCAGCAACUAAAGAAGACAGCUCAGCUGAUGAAGAUCCAAGUUGUAAAUGACUGCCGUGUCUGCCUGAGUCAAGCAGAACAAAAUCUGUGACAUUUCAACCCAGCUGAGAUUCUGAGGAGAUUAGACUGAGCAACACUAUGGUGGACAGCAGAAUCUUCCUGCUCUCUUCCAUCCUUUUGUACCUGAGAAAAAGCAGAAGUUGUACCUGCAAAUGCAUGAAGGCAAUAAUCCUGCAGUACUCUUCCAAUAGCAUUCUGCUAUUCUGGGGAAAAAAAGAAAUCUUGUUUUGA
rnacentral:lncRNA from 1 species